AGAUAAUCCCAGGCGACUGGGAAAAGGUCGAGUCAGGCUGAUUGGCUCGGCCCCUCUGCUGCCGAACCGCAAGGUUCGAGCCCGGAGGCAAGAUUCACCAAGUCCUCUGGCUGUGUUCGCGCACGGCCAGUCAACGCGACAUAGGACUUCGGCAGUGAGGAGCGAUUAGAAGCCGCUCCGAGCUGAGUCAAGUAACUCAAGCUGGUUUCGAGCUCGAGUGAAUCGCAGUUACCGAGAAGGUAUCCGGUUGCUACUGCGCAUCAGCACGGGCGAAUGACUCUGGCGGUCCAGCAAAUGCGGGAUCUGCCAAACGAAAGACGCUGAAAGGCGCGACAAAAAGAGCGUUCGCACUGGGAAGGACACGUGAUCUCGGCAGGAUCCGUGAAAACCUUCCGAAACGCCAGCGAUGUUCAAAACGACACCGCGGGCCAGAGAAAGAAAAGCAACCUGAGAGAGCAGAGGCGAGACCCGUGGUACCGGGCGAACGUUCCGCCAAAAGCGGGAGCUGACCCGGCACUAAGCGGUCAAGACGCGGACAACAUUCUCAGACGCGCCUUGACCUGGUUCGCAGGCCGGUGGCGCAACCACCAGCCGAAGCGAGCUGAAAAGCCUCACUCGAAAUCCAGCGGCGGCAACGCCCUGGACGGCCCUGCUACGAGGCCGGACACUCCGCUUGCCGUGGAGAAUAGCGUCGGGAAGCCGGCAGCCCGCUUCGGCGUGGCGCCUAAUGCCGGCACGGGAAAGAGAGCGUGGCGCACUCC
rnacentral:sRNA from 12 species